rnacentral:rRNA from 1 species
GACGAACGCUGGCGGCGUGCUUAACACAUGCAAGUCGAGCGGAAAGGCCCUGCUUUUGUGGGUUUCUCGUGUGGCGAACGGGGGAGUAAAACGUGAGUAACAUGCCCUUGUCAUUGGGAUAACUUCACGAGACUGGGGCUCAUACACGGUAGGAGCUCCUGCACCACGGGGGGGGUUGGUAAAAGUCGGCUGUGGGGGAUUGGCUAGCCGCUUAUCGGCUUCUUGGGGGGGUUGUGGAUUUCCAAGGUUUUGACGGGAAGCCGGCCUGGGAGGGUGACAGGCCACCCUGGCUCUGAGGGGCGGCACAGGCACCUACGGGAGGCAGCAGGGCGGAAUAUUGCACGAUGGGCGGAAGGCUGGUGCAGCAGCGCCGCGUGCGGGAUGACGGUCUUCGGGUUGUAAACCGCUUUCGCCUGUGACGAAGCGUGAGUGACGGUAACGGGUAAAGAAGCCCCGGCUAACUACGUG